GUCUACGGCCAUACCACCCUGAAUGCGCCCGAUCUCAUCUGAUCUCGGAAGCUAAGGCAGGGUCGGGCCUGGUUAGUACUUGGAUGGGAGAAAUGGCCAUGACUUGGCGAUGUCCACU
rnacentral:rRNA from 1 species